AACGAACGCUGGCGGCAUGCCUAACACAUGCAAGUCGAACGAGAUCUUCGGGUCUAGUGGCGCACGGGUGCGUAACGCGUGGGAAUCUGCCCUUUGGUUCGGAAUAACAGUUGGAAACGACUGCUAAUACCGGAUGAUGACGAAAGUCCAAAGAUUUAUCGCCAGAGGAUGAGCCCGCGUAGGAUUAGCUAGUUGGUGUGGUAAAGGCGCGCCAAGGCGACAAUCCUUAGCUGGUCUGAGAGGAUGAUAAGCCACACUGGGACUGGGACACGGCCCAGACUCCUACGGGAGGCAGCAGUGGGGAAUAUUGGACAAUGGGCGAAAGCCUGAUCCAGCAAUGCCGCGUGAGUGAUGAAGGCCUUAGGGUUGUAAAGCUCUUUUACCCGGGAUGAUAAUGACAGUACCGGGAGAAUAAGCUCCGGCUAACUCCGUGCCAGCCGCCGCCGUAA
rnacentral:rRNA from 1 species